rnacentral:tRNA from 1 species
GAAGGUAGAGCUCAGUGGUAGAGCGUGUGCUUAGCAUGCACGAGGUCCUGGGUUCUACCCCCACUACCUCCA